AACACGUCCUGCUUCCCACUGUGCCUCCAGCACACAGCAUGCUUCCUGCACAAGGUCAGACCUGCACCAGGCCCUGAGCAUCCACGUGAGCGCAGAGACCAGGCCCUGCCCUGGGAGGGCAGGUGUGCUGGUUGGGAAAGCCCAGUCGGAAACAGCUCAAGUCCUACCCAAAGAAGGAGACUUUCUUCUAAUGAAGACGAAUGCAGAGCGAUGAGUGACUUGGCAAAAGCCAACGCAGUCAGAAUACAGGCUUCAUUCAGGGAAGUGAAAAACCCAGGUGGUGCUGAGUUUGGAGAAAUGUCUGAGAGCAUGCUGAGUGCCCAAGCCUUGAAGGGGUUCUACUGUGGAUCUGGGGGUACAGCCGGCUCCUCUCUGAUGAAGCUCCACCUUCAGCUCCCAGAGCAGAGCCCCUGGACAAAGUUCAAGCCUCUUCACCCGGCCCACAGGGCCCUUAUGGCUGUCACCCCUGCCCACUCAGCCCUGGCUCAGUGUGGAUGCUGCUUCCUCCAGGAUGCCUUCCCAGAUCUGCAGUUUUCCCCCCAACAUAGCCCUUAUCAAGUCACGUGUCUCUUGAUCUGGGGCGCCCCUGGACUGUGAGCAGGGACUGUGUCUGGUGUCCUUCCCCGUGGCAUCCUCGCUGCCUACCCAAUUCUCAAUGCACAGCGGGUGAGUAAUGACAGAAUCAGACAGUCUCAUGUAGGGGCUGCAGACCCAACUCUCUACAGCCAUUUUCUUGGACUCUGUCUUGCUCAAUCCUGAGCCAACUGGGGUCUCUACAGUGGCCACAGUGCCCUGACAAUUGUGUUGAGAACCUGACAGGUAUUUGCCACUUUGUGAUGCCCACCCAGGGAGGGGGACCUAGAAAGGGCUGGCUCGAGAAGGCCAUCUCCUUGGUGGGUUUUGGUGGUAUAGCAGGAUGGUUAUUUGGGCUCCUUUCCACCAUCUGGAGGAUGUGCCAACUGAGACCUGCCCCUGGUUGAGGAGGGGAGGUGGGAGUCAGCAAGACUUGGAGCCUUUCCUCACAGGGAUCAGACUCUUCACAACAAUUCGUGCACACCAGGUGGUCUUGUCUCCUAGCCCAGACUCAGAAAGUGACUAUGGCCAGCUGGGUGGAACUCUUUUAUGAUGGUUCUCCCCCCCUCCCGGAAGCCGAAUUUGGGGAACUAUGGCUCAGUGAGGGGACAUCUGCUCACCCAGCGAGCAAGUGGAGAACCAGUGCUCAGACCCAGGCCGGGCUUUCCAUCUGGCCACACUGCCUGUAAUAGGUUAGGACGGGAGGUGAGUCAGCUAAGAGACUUCCCAGGCUCUCCGGCCUGCAGAAACCCCCCAUUCACUCCCGGGUCGUGGGAAGGAAGGGUGACCGGGUUCAGUGGCAGCCCUUUCUAGCACUGACUGUCAGAUGUGAACAGGAGACCCUGCCGCUUGGAACAAAAUGGCAGGAAUGGAACAAAUUCAUUUGCUUACGUAGCUGCCAGGCAUUCUACACACACACACCUGAGUGUCUGUAUAAGAGUUAGUGGGGGCUGCCAGCAAACUCCCUCUUUAGUCCUUGACCAUGAUCUGCACUGGGAAAAUGGGGUAAUGGAGUGCGGUGGCUGGCUGGGUGCCCUCCCUCUGCCCAACCUGCUCAAAGUUGUCCCAUCAGGCUUUGAACACUGAUCUCAACCCCACACGGCCCCUGGCCGAAGGGUCCCACACUCUUGUCCCCCUCUGUACCCCAGGCCCGCUUGGCACAUUCGAAGCCCUGCCUGUCCCCAGCACCCCACACCGCUGGUGUGCCUGGGACUUGAGCGUCUGCCCAUCCACUGCUCAGGACGUGAGUUCUGCAGUUGCCCUGGUCCACACUCUGGGAGCCCGGGUACCAGUAUUUUUGGCUCCCAUGUCCCCCUCUCAGGACUUGGUCUAGGCACCCCACCCUUGGCCCUUCUCAGAGACCUCAGGCAGGGUGUUUGUACCGUAUCCCUUGGGCCUUACCACCUCCGUGGGCCCCAGUGGCGGUGUCAACGUCGCUUGGCCAAGGACUCACCGUGAAGCCGUGGGGGGGCGGGGGCACCCUUUCCUCUGUGGGGCAGACCAGAAGUGCUCGGGAGUUCACGUCAGCCCCCCCCAGCAGCCCCCAGCCCCCAGCAAUGGCCCUGGCUGAGAGCCCUUCUGCUCUGAGUCCCAGGGCUCCUCGCGGAACGAAGCUCCGCUCCCCAGGGCCCCAGGCGAGCGACAGCACAGCCCUACUGCCUGCCUUCCGCACUCCCAUCGGCGUUUGCCAGCGUCGCUUCCUGAAUAAAUCUCAGGGGCCGCUCCUGGGGUCCUCCCUGAAGCCGGCCUAUUCCUCCCAGCCUUCCUCGGAGGGCCCCCCACUCCGGAACCCUCCAGCGCUCAGGGAAGGCCGCGCUCCCCGCCGCCUGUCCUGGGCCCUGGCUUUCUCUGCUCCCCGGGGUCUCGCACCUUCGGCCGGGAGCAAAGGAUUCCCUCGCCUUCAGCACAAUCCCUGUGAAUUCAGCCUCUCCCCCAGCCUCCGACCUGGUGCCCGAAGCUGUCACCCACCGAAGCUGUCACCGACCGGU